rnacentral:rRNA from 1 species
GUGGGGAUGACGUCAAGUCCUCAUGGCCUUUAUGACCUGGGCUACACACGUGCUACAAUGGGCGGUACAAAGGGCUGCGAACCCGCGAGGGGGAGCGAAUCCCAAAAAGCCGCUCUCAGUUCGGAUUGCAGGCUGCAACUCGCCUGCAUGAAGCCGGAAUCGCUAGUAAUCGCGGAUCAGCAUGCCGCGGUGAAUACGUUCCCGGGCCUU